CAGCCGCCGCGGGAAUACAGAGGGUGCGAGCGUUAAUCGGAUUUACUGGGCGUAAAGCGUGCGUAGGCGGCUUCUUAAGUCGGAUGUGAAAUCCCUGAGCUUAACUUAGGAAUUGCAUUCGAUACUGGGAAGCUAGAGUAUGGGAGAGGAUGGUAGAAUUCCAGGUGUAGCGGUGAAAUGCGUAGAGAUCUGGAGGAAUACCGAUGGCGAAGGCAGCCAUCUGGCCUAAUACUAACGCUGAGGUACGAAAGCAUGGGGAGCAAACAGGAUUAGAUACCCCUGUAGUCCCUGUCUCUUAUCA
rnacentral:rRNA from 1 species